GAGAGGAGGGCUUUGUAAAUGCCAGCAGAGUAAAUCAGCAGAAUUUAUAUCAUUCCUCAGUAGAAAUGUCUCCAAGGUCUUCUUCUCUUUUCAUUGUAGGCUUUAAUAACCACUGGAGACUCGUUCCUUCUCAAGGAAGACGACGAUGUAAGAACUUCAAGAGAGUGCUUCACUACCACAGAGCUCAGUAUUUAACUAGAUUCUUGUUUCUUGAGGUGUGAGCAUGAAGUCUUUAUUUCCGUCCGAGCAUCCAGAUGUCUGUCUGUUACCCUUUAGUUUGAUCCACCUCACCGUAACCAACAACAAGUUCAGUGAUGAUAUUAACUCUGCACAGUAUAGGAGAGGCUUGGAUUGAAGCUUAGAAUACAGACAGUAAGGUCCAGGCUGUGAUCUAACUGUGAAACAGAGAUUGAUUCAGAUCUUCUCACUCAUGUCCAGUUUACAUUAGCGCCUGAAUGUAGAUUGAACAGCCAAUGAGACAUGACCUGCUGGGUCAUGUGAUCACCAGAGUUUUUGUACGGGCAGGAAGGAGAACGUCUCACUGUGUGACACCACCAGUCCAACAGGAACAGUAGUAGGUGGCAGAAUGGGACGCUUUCACCUUCUGAAGCGACAACUCCCAGCUGUUCUCUUUGAGGACUGAUGAGAAAUCAUCCUUCUGAGGAUGGUUGUAAUUUUUAUAAAGCGCACCAGUACUCUUGGAGAUGUCAAGAAUCACCCUGAAUGUUUCGCUCUCUUUCUUCUGGUACCAGUAGAUAUAAUCAUCAGGACACUGGUCAGUGUCUGUACAUCUGAAGGUGACAUUUUCCCCUUCUCUCCUGGUCCACGACACCUGGUCCUGAGUCAGCUCUGCUGCCAUGGCAACCACCGCUGUAGGGACAAGAGCACAUGGAUGAGCAUCCGUGUUCUGGGGUGGACGAAACCCGAUGUGUGGUGAGUUGUGAUUGGUGGGAAACUGUCA
ensembl:lncRNA